CCUACGGGUGGCAGCAGUGAGGAAUAUUGGUCAAUGGGCGCGAGCCUGAACCAGCCAAGUAGCGUGAAGGAUGACUGCCCUACGGGUUGUAAACUUCGUUUAUAAAGGAAUAAAGUGAGGCACGUGUGCCGUUUUGUAGGUACGUUAUGAAUAAGGAUCGGCUAACUCCGUGCCAGCAGCCGAGGUAAUACGGAGGAUCCGAGCGUUAUCCGGAUUUAUUGGGUUUAAAGGGAGCGUAGAUGGGUUGUUAAGUCAGUUGUGAAAGUUUGCGGCUCAACCGUAAAAUGGCUAUUGAUACGGGCAGUCUUGUGUACAGUUGUGGUAGGCGGAUUUCGUUUUGUAGCUGU
rnacentral:rRNA from 1 species